AUGGCGAAGCCCCCGGCGCAGGCGGCCCCUGGAUCAGCGUACAAUCUCGUGGAAACGAAGCCGCCGCUGCCCGCGAAGCUCGGCCCACGCGGCGCGGCGUUGGCGGCAACGAAAAUGGCCUCGACGUACGACAUGGUGGAGCCAAUGAAGUACCUGUACGUAAGCGUGGUGAAGGCGCGCGACUUGCCCACCAUGGACGUCACCGGCGCGCUGGACCCGUACGUGGAGGUGAAGCUGGGCAACUUCAAAGGCGUGACCAAGCACCUGGUAAAGAACCACAACCCCGUGUGGCACCAGACCUUCGCCUUCUCCUUCGCCAACCUUCAGUCCAACCAGCUGGAGGUCAUCGUCAAGGACAAGGACACGAUCCGCGACGACUUCGUAGGCCGCGUCGUGUUGGACGUGUCCGACAUCCCCGAGUGCAUCCCGCCCGACAGCCCGCUGGCCCCACAGUGGUACAACCUCUCUGACGCCCAUGGGGAGAGAUUCCACCACGGCCACAGCCUCGGCGAGAUCAUGCUCGCCGUCUGGAUUGGCACCCAGGCCGACGAAGCAUUCCCAGAAGCGUACCACUCGGGCGCUCACCCGCUAUCGACGGCGGGGCUCACUAACACGCGCUCCAAGGUGUACUACUCCCCGAAGCUCAUCUACCUCAAGGUCUCUGUCAUCGCGGCCAAGGACCUAAUCGGUGCCGAGAAUUCAAAAGACCCGCCGGUGAAGCCCACUGUCGCCAAGAUCCAGAUGGGCAGCCAGAUUCGCCGGACGCGGCCAGGGCAGCCACCGGCGAACCCGGUGUGGAACGACGACUUCAUGUUGGUGGCCUGCGAGCCGUUUGAGGACCCGCUGGUGGUGACGGUUGAGGAGAAGGUCGCCACCGGGGAUGAGCCCAUCGGCCGCGUCAUCAUUCCCGUGGCGUCAAACGUGCCGCGCAACGACCUGGCUAAGUCGGUGCCGUCCAAAUGGUUCAACCUGUCGCGUGGGAUGACGGUGGAACAGGCGGCGGCGGAUGUUACGACGGGGACCAAGCACCGGGAGCAUUCCAAGACGUUCGCCAGCAAGAUCCACCUCAAGAUGAGCCUAGAGACGGCGUACCAUGUGCUGGACGAGUCGACGCACUACACCAGCGACCUGCAGCCGGCGGCGAAGAAGCUGCGGAAGAGCGCCAUCGGCAUGCUCGAGGUGGGCAUCCUCAGCGCGCGCGGCCUCGGCGGCAACAAGAACCCCUACUGCGUCGCCAAGUACGGCGCCAAGUGGGUGCGCACACGCACGCUGCUCGGUACCGCGGCACACGCUUGGAACGAGCAGUACAUCUGGGAGGUGUUUGACCUCGGCACCGUCAUCACCAUCGCCGUCUUCAACAACAAAAAUCUCGAGGGCCAUGGCGACACCAAGGACGAGAGGAUCGGCAAGAUGGUGGCGACGCGACUAGGCAAAGCGGAGCCGCCGCUGCGGCGGGAGGUGGUGGAGUACAUACUAGACGCGGACUCGCACAUGUUCAGCCUGCGCCGGAGCAAGGCCAACUUCAACCGCAUCAUCUCGCUCUUCUCCGGCGCCUUGGCGGCUGGCAAGUGGUUCGACAACAUCUGCAAGUGGAAGAACCCGCUGACCACCAGCCUCGUCCACGUCUUGUUCCUCAUCCUCGUGUGCUACCCGGAGCUGAUCUUGUCGACGGUGUUCCUGUACAUAUUCCUGAUCGGGGUGUGGAACUACCGGCGGCGGCCGCGAAACCCGCCGCACAUGGACACGGUGUUGUCGCACGCGGAGCUGGCGCAGCCGGACGAGCUGGACGAGGAGUUCGACACGUUCCCGACGUCCAGGCCGGGCGAUGUAGUGCGUAUGAGGUACGACCGGCUGAGAAGUGUCGCCGGCAGGGUGCAGACGGUGGUCGGCGACCUGGCCAUGCAGGGGGAGCGCGCCCAGUCCCUGCUCAGCUGGCGCGACCCUAGGGCCACCGCUAUGUUCAUCACGCUCUCCUUCAUCAUCGCCAUCGUGCUCUAUGUGACGCCAUUUCGGGUGGUGGCCGUCCUCGCCGGCUUGUACAUGCUCCGGCACCCCCGGCUCCGGAGCAAGCAGCCGUCUGCGCCCUUCAACUUCUACAGGCGCCUCCCAGCCAAGGGCGAUAUGCUCCUAUGA
rnacentral:rRNA from 1 species